rnacentral:rRNA from 1 species
UUAGAUACCCUGGUAGUCCACGCCGUAAACGAUGUCGAUUUGGAGGUUGUGCCCUUGAGGCGUGGCUUCCGGAGCUAACGCGUUAAAUCGACCGCCUGGGGAGUACGGCCGCAAGGUUAAAACUCAAAUGAAUUGACGGGGGCCCGCACAAGCGGUGGAGCAUGUGGUUUAAUUCGGUGCAACGCGAAGAACCUUACCUGGUCUUGACAUCCACAGAACUUUCCAGAGAUGGAUUGGUGCCUUCGGGAACUGUGAGACAGGUGCUGCAUGGCUGUCGUCAGCUCGUGUUGUGAAAUGUUGGGUUAAGUCCCGCAACGAGCGCAACCCUUAUCCUUUGUUGCCAGCGGUUAGGCCGGGAACUCAAAGGAGACUGCCAGUGAUAAACUGGAGGAGGGUGGGGAUGACGUCAAGUCAUCAUGGCCCUUACGACCAGGGCUACACACGUGCUACAAUGGCGCAUACAAAGAGAAGCGACCUCGCGAGAGCAAGCGGACCUCAUAAAGUGCGUCGUAGUCCGGAUUGGAGUCUGCAACUCGACUCCAUGAAGUCGGAAUCGCUAGUAAUCGUAGAUCAGAAUGCUACGGUGAAUACGUUCCCGGGCCUUGUACACACCGCCCGUCACACCAUGGGAGUGGGUUGCAAAAGAAGUAGGUAGCUUAACC